CUCCCCAGUCCCCACUGAUAUUAUCACCAGCUCCAGGCAUUCUUUAUAUGCGGUGCCAGUUAGUCCCCGUCGACCCAAAACCCUGCAAAACCAACAAACCAUAUCACCCAUCAUAUCAAAGAGAACAUGGGAAUAGUGGCGGAAGCUCACAACGUUCGUGUUCUCGGGUCGGGUCAGCAGGUCAUAGUCCUCGCCCACGGGUUCGGAACCGACCAGUCCGUCUGGAAGCACCUUGUCCCCCACCUGGUCGACGACUACCGAGUCGUCAUGUACGACAACAUGGGCGCCGGAACCACCAACCCCGAGUACUUUGAUUUCGAGCGCUACUCCACGCUCGAGGGCUACGCGUACGACUUACUCGCCAUCCUCGAGGAGUUUCAGGUCGAGAGUUGCAUCUUUGUGGGUCACUCUGUUUCCGCCAUGAUUGGCACCAUCGCCGCCGUCAUGAGGCCGGAGCUUUUCUUUAAGCUCGUUAUGAUCGCCGCCUCUCCAAGGUAUCUGAACGACACGGACUACUACGGAGGCUUCGAGGAAGAAGACCUACAUCAACUCUUCGAAGCCAUCCGCUCAAACUACAAGGCCUGGUGCGCCGGCUUUGCCCCGCUCGCCGUGGGUGGCGACAUGGACUCGGUCGCCGUCCAAGAGUUUAGCCGGACCCUAUUCAACAUGCGGCCCGACAUAGCCCUCAGCGUGGCCCAGACCAUUUUCCAAAGCGACACGAGACAGAUCAUGGGCAUGGUCACGGUGCCUUGCCACAUACUCCAGAGUGUUAAGGACUUGGCGGUGCCGGUGGUGGUAUCGGAGUACCUGCACCAGAAUUUGGGGGGUGUGUCGAUCGUGGAGGUGAUGUCAUCGGACGGGCAUCUCCCUCAGCUGAGCUCGCCGGAUAUUGUGAUUCCCGUGCUGCUCCGGCACAUUACACAUGAUAUUGCGACGCGAUGAAGUUUAAGUUGAUUGUUAGGUGUUCUUGUGUGUAAUUAGGAGGGUGGUAAUUAGGCGCUUGGCGGAUAAUUGAUUUUCGUUUUGCAUGUGGUAAUGGUUCAGGUCCCUAUGUUGGAUGUCGUGUUCAAAGUGAAUUGACUCUCCACGGACAACGUCAUAUGAAGGUGGGAAGAUUUGAAUUUGGCUCAUGAACGGGUGGUAAUAAUGUAUUUUCAGUUGUGAUAUUAUAAAAAUGAUAAUCAAGGUGUAUUGGAUGCUUUCGUAUCUUAAGUUUACCAUUUAUCAAAAUAGUAUUUGCGUCUGGGAUUAGUCCGGAUAGUGAAGAGUGAGAAUUGUAUUAGAAAUAAGUCAAGUGGAGGUUUCAUUUUCCCUUCAAUGUAACAAAAAAGAUUUCAAUUAUGUGAUGUGUCGAUGGUGAAUUCGAUCUUGA